UAAACAUUAAGCCCAGAUGGUUAAGAUAACAAAAAGCUGGGGAAUUUUUAUCUCCUUCCUUCUCUAGUUUUCACAUAGAGGGACUUCCCUGACCCCACACACUUGGCCCCUCUCUGCUCCCUUUUUGACCCAGCUAGGAGUGAUUUGUCACUUGAGUUUAUGUAUGACUCACUCUCUUCCCCUCCCUCUCCCUCUCUUUUGGUAUAUGCCUGCCCUGGGAGAACACACAAGCUCUGCUGUCAGCCAUGUGCAGGAAAUGGAGAAACAGUGCCCAGAAGGUGAAAAAGAAGAGACGACCCCCUGAAGGGGACAUCCACAUUUAUUUGAGCACCUACCAGCAAAGUGCUGGGCACGCAGAAGGAUGAUGUGAUGAAGCGCCAUCACAUGGCUGGUAGCCUGUGGUGAGUCACUGGACUUCUCGACUCCCACCUCACUAGGGUGGAAGGAAGAGUAACCACAAGGCUCUGCAACUCGGGCUGC